AGAGCGAACGCUGGCGGCAGGCUUAACACAUGCAAGUCGAACGGAUCCCUCGGGAUCAGUGGCGGACGGGUGAGUAACACGUGGGAACGUGCCUUUAGGUUCGGAAUAACUCAGGGAAACUUGAGCUAAUACCGGAUGUGCCCUUCGGGGGAAAGAUUUAUCGCCUUUAGAGCGGCCCGCGUCUGAUUAGCUUGUUGGUGGGGUAAUGGCCCACCAAGGCAACGAUCAGUAGCUGGUCUGAGAGGAUGGCCAGCCACACUGGGACUGAGACACGGCCCAGACUCCUACGGGAGGCAGCAGUGGGGAAUCUUGCGCAAUGGGGGAAACCCUGACGCAGCCAUGCCGCGUGGAUGAUGAAGGUCUUAGGAUUGUAAAAUCCUUUCAGCGGGGACGAUAAUGACGGUACCCGCAGAAGAAGCUCCGGCUAACUUCGCGCCAGCAGCCGC
rnacentral:rRNA from 1 species